UACAGAGGGGGCAAGCGUUGUUCGGAAUUACUGGGCGUAAAGGGCGCGUAGGCGGCCUGCUAAGUCGAACGUGAAAUCCCUGGGCUCAACCCAGGAACUGCGUCCGAUACUGGUUGGCUUGAAUCCGGGAGAGGGAUGUGGAAUUCCAGGUGUAGCGGUGAAAUGCGUAGAUAUCGGGAGGAACACCAGUGGCGCAAGCGGCUGACUGGCCGAGACCUGACGCUGAGACGCGACGGCGUGGGGAGCAAACCGG
rnacentral:rRNA from 1 species